rnacentral:rRNA from 1 species
AUAGAGCUUACCAUGCAGUCUACUUGAUCCUUCGGGUGAAGGUGGCGGACGGGUGAGUAACGCGUAAAGAACUUGCCUUACAGACUGGGACAACAUUUGGAAACGAAUGCUAAUACCGGAUAUUAUGACUGAGUCGCAUGAUUUGGUUAUGAAAGCUAUAUGCGCUGUGAGAGAGCUUUGCGUCCCAUUAGUUAGUUGGUGAGGUAACGGCUCACCAAGACGAUGAUGGGUAGCCGGCCUGAGAGGGUGAACGGCCACAAGGGGACUGAGACACGGCCCUUACUCCUACGGGAGGCAGCAGUGGGGAAUAUUGGACAAUGGACCAAAAGUCUGAUCCAGCAAUUCUGUGUGCACGAUGAAGUUUUUCGGAAUGUAAAGUGCUUUCAGUUGGGAAGAAGUCAGUGACGGUACCAACAGAAGAAGCGACGGCUAAAUACGUGCCAGCAGCCGCGGUAAUACGUAUGUCGCAAGCGUUAUCCGGAUUUAUUGGGCGUAAAGCGCGUCUAGGCGGUUUAGUAAGUCUGAUGUGAAAAUGCGGGGCUCAACCCCGUAUUGCGUUGGAAACUGUUAAACUAGAGUACUGGAGAGGUAGGCGGAACUACAAGUGUAGAGGUGAAAUUCGUAGAUAUUUGUAGGAAUGCCGAUGGGGAAGCCAGCCUACUGGACAGAUACUGACGCUAAAGCGCGAAAGCGUGGGUAGCAAACAGGAUUAGAUACCCUGGUAGUCCACGCCGUAAACGAUGAUUACUAGGUGUUGGGGGUCGAACCUCAGCGCCCAAGCUAACGCGAUAAGUAAUCCGCCUGGGGAGUACGUACGCAAGUAUGAAACUCAAAGGAAUUGACGGGGACCCGCACAAGCGGUGGAGCAUGUGGUUUAAUUCGACGCAACGCGAGGAACCUUACCAGCGUUUGACAUCCCAAGAAGUUAACAGAGAUGUUUUCGUGCCUCUUCGGAGGAACUUGGUGACAGGUGGUGCAUGGCUGUCCUCAGCUCGUGUCGUGAGAUGUUGGGUUAAGUCCCGCAACGAGCGCAACCCCUUUCGUAUGUUACCAUCAUUAAGUUGGGGACUCAUGCGAGACUGCCUGCGAUGAGCAGGAGGAAGGUGGGGAUGACGUCAAGUCAUCAUGCCCCUUAUACGCUGGGCUACACACGUGCUACAAUGGGUAGUACAGAGAGCUGCAAACCUGCGAGGGUAAGCUAAUCUCAUAAAACUAUUCUUAGUUCGGAUUGUACUCUGCAACUCGAGUACAUGAAGUUGGAAUCGCUAGUAAUCGCAAAUCAGCUAUGUUGCGGUGAAUACGUUCUCGGGUCUUGUACACACCGCCCGUCACACCACGAGAGUUGGUUGCACCUGAAGUAACAGGCCUAACCGUAAGGANGGAUUNCCAGGUGU